CUACGUGCCAGCAGCCGCGGUAAUACGUAGGUGGCAAGCGUUGUCCGGAAUUAUUGGGCGUAAAGCGCGCGCAGGCGGAUUGGUCAGUCUGUCUUAAAAGUUCGGGGCUUAACCCCGUGAUGGGAUGGAAACUGCCAAUCUAGAGUAUCGGAGAGGAAAGUGGAAUUCCUAGUGUAGCGGUGAAAUGCGUAGAUAUUAGGAAGAACACCAGUGGCGAAGGCGACUUUCUGGACGAAAACUGACGCUGAGGCGCGAAAGCCAGGGGAGCGAACGGGAUUAGAUACCCCGGUAGUCCUGGCCGUAAACGAUGGGUACUAGGUGUAGGAGGUAUCGACCCCUUCUGUGCCGGAGUUAACGCAAUAAGUACCCCGCCUGGGGAGUACGACCGCAAGGUUGAAACUCAAAGGAAUUGACGGGGGCCCGCACAAGCGGUGGAGUAUGUGGUUUAAUUCGACGCAACGCGAAGAACCUUACCAGGUCUUGACAUUGACUGA
rnacentral:rRNA from 1 species